rnacentral:lncRNA from 1 species
AAAAAGUUUGGAUUUUCGAAAUCAAACUGAAAAAUAGACAUUUCCAUUUUGCAAAAAAAUUGUUUUUUUCUCCACUCUCUUCUCCCAGCAUUCUUUUCUUUCUGUAGUCUGAAAAAGCAAGAUGUCUGAGGUAUUCUUCUCCCACAGCUUAAAAUGAAAGGAGGAGCUGCUCAAAAUGGAGGAACAUCCAUAAAUCAUCAGAAACACUUUCCAAGUUCUAAUUACAGCUGUUUAUGUGACUGUACUUGCAAGUGAGCCAAAGGGCUGCAAGUCUGAAGGACCCGAGCCUAAAAAGAGUAUAAAUGGCAAAACAAUCCUUCUUGUCUGUUCUCCAUUUGCCAGUGGAAUAAGCACAGAUUGGGCCCUGAUCCAGCUUACAUGUAUUCAGAGGAGUAACUCUACCCAUCCAGACUGCCUCAGUCAGCUUUAAGAAACUCAGUAAUGCUACUUUUUCUGACAUAAGUGUUUGCAGGAUCUGAGAUUCAGUAAGUACUAACAUUAACAAAAAACAUUAUUAGGAAUCUAUAUUGAUUUCUCUCUUUCUCUUUUGUAUUUUUAAUUUUCUGGGGUUUCUUCUUAACAUAAGUCCUCCACAUUACCAUAUUGUACUUUUAUUUAAUAGGAAG